GAUGAAGAACGCAGUGAAAUGCGAUAAGUAAUGUGAAUUGCAGAAUUCAGUGAAUCAUCGAAUCUUUGAACGCACAUUGCGCCCGCCAGUAUACUGGCGGGCAUGCCUGUUCGAGCGUCAUUACAACCCUCAGGCCCCCGGGCCUGGCGUUGGGGAUCGGCGGAAGCCCCCUGCGGGCACAACGCCGUCCCCCAAAUACAGUGGCGGUCCCGCCGCAGCUUCCAUUGCGUAGUAGCUAACACCUCGCAACUGGAGAGCGGCGCGGCCACGCCGUAAAACACCCAACUUCUGAAUGUUGACCUCGAAUCAGGUAGGAAUACCCGCUGAACUUAAGCAUAUCAAUAAGCGGAGGA
rnacentral:misc_RNA from 1 species